UACGAAGGGGACUAGCGUUGUUCGGAAUCACUGGGCGUAAAGCGCACGUAGGCGGAUUUGUAAGUCAGGGGUGAAAUCCCGGGGCUCAACCUCGGAACUGCCUUUGAUACUGAUGGACUUGAGUGCGUGAGGGGUAGGGGGAACGAGCAGUGUAGCGGUGAAAUGCGUAGAUAUUGCUCGGAAGGCCAGAGCCGAAGGGGCCCUACUGGUACGUAACUGACACUGAGGCACGAAAGCGUGGGGAGCAAACAGG
rnacentral:rRNA from 1 species